rnacentral:tRNA from 1 species
GGACUCGUAGCUCAGUUGGUUAGAGCGUCUCGUUUACACCGAGAAGGUCAGAGGUUCGACUCCUCUCGAGUCCA